rnacentral:rRNA from 1 species
UUACCUACGGGACGCAGCAGUGAGGAAUAUUGGUCAAUGGCCGAGAGGCUGAACCAGCCAAGUCGCGUGAGGGAUGACGGCCCUACGGGUUGUAAACCUCUUUUGUCGGGGGGCAAGACCCGCCUCGUGCAGGCGGAGCGAGAGUACCCGAAGAAAAAGCAUCGGCUAACUCCGUGCCAGCAGCCGCGGUAAUACGGAGGAUGCGAGCGUUAUCCGGAUUUAUUGGGUUUAAAGGGUGCGUAGGCGGUUUUAUAAGUUAGAGGUGAAAUCUCGGGGCUCAACUCCGAAAUUGCCUCUAAUACUGU